CCUGGUCCAACUGGGAGAAGGGUUGACAAUUCUGAGAGAGUGAACACUUGGGAGAGUUGAGGUUGUGGGCUUACACCAGCGAGCACACACAUCAACAGUGGUGAACCUGACGUGAACGAAAUACAUGGCGGCCGGAGAGAAAAGGAUGACGAAGAGCGGUUACCAGGUGGGGGAGAGCUCUAAGCGACCCGAGCGGGAGCCGGAGGAGUAUCGGCCGGAGCGACG
rnacentral:lncRNA from 1 species